rnacentral:rRNA from 1 species
AUUGAACGCUGGCGGCAGGCCUAACACAUGCAAGUCGAGCGGAUGAAGGGAGCUUGCUCCUGGAUUCAGCGGCGGACGGGUGAGUAAUGCCUAGGAAUCUGCCUGGUAGUGGGGGAUAACGUCCGGAAACGGGCGCUAAUACCGCAUACGUCCUGAGGGAGAAAGUGGGGGAUCUUCGGACCUCACGCUAUCAGAUGAGCCUAGGUCGGAUUAGCUAGUUGGUGGGGUAAAGGCCUACCAAGGCGACGAUCCGUAACUGGUCUGAGAGGAUGAUCAGUUACACUGGAACUGAGACACGGUCCAGACUCCUACGGGAGGCAGCAGUGGGGAAUAUUGGACAAUGGGCGAAAGCCUGAUCCAGCCAUGCCGCGUGUGUGAAGAAGGUCUUCGGAUUGUAAAGCACUUUAAGUUGGGAGGAAGGGCAGUAAGUUAAGACCUUGCUGUUUUGACGUUACCAACAGAAUAAGCACCGGCUAACUUCGU